UGACCCCGUGCGGGAGAGUCCUCCGAAGUGCUCACUGAGCUCUCGGCGGGCGCCGAAGGAGCAACUCCUCCCCGGAAUCUCUCAGGCCCACGGACCGCACGGACGAG
rnacentral:ncRNA from 2 species